rnacentral:rRNA from 1 species
ACGGCUCAGUAACACGUAGUCAACAUGCCCAGGGGACGUGGAUAACCUCGGGAAACUGAGGAUAAACCGCGAUAGGUCAUUACUUCUGGAAUGGGUAAUGACUCAAACCUAUAUGGCCCCUGGAUUGGACUGCGGCCGAUCAGGCUGUUGGUGAGGUAAUGGCCCACCAAACCUGUAACCGGUACGGGCUCUGAGAGGAGGAGCCCGGAGAUGGGCACUGAGACAAGGGCCCAGGCCCUAUGGGGCGCAGCAGGCGCGAAACCUCUGCAAUAGGCGAAAGCUUGACAGGGUUACUCUGAGUGAUUUCCGUUAAGGAGAUCUUUUGGCACCUCUAAAAAUGGUGCAGAAUAAGGGGUGGGCAAGUCUGGUGUCAGCCGCCGCGGUAAUACCAGCACCCCGAGUGGUCGGGACGUUUAUUGGGCCUAAAGCAUCCGUAGCCGGUUCUACAAGUCUUCCGUUAAAUCCACCUGCUUAACAGAUGGGCUGCGGAAGAUACUAUAGAGCUAGGAGGCGGGAGAGGCAAGCGGUACUCGAUGGGUAGGGGUAAAAUCCGUUGAUCCAUUGAAGACCACCAGUGGCGAAGGCGGCUUGCCAGAACGCGCUCGACGGUGAGGGAUGAAAGCUGGGGGAGCAAACCGGAUUAGAUACCCGGGUAGUCCCAGCUGUAAACGAUGCAGACUCGGUGAUGGGCUGGCUUCGUGCCAACUCGGUGCCGCAGGGAAGCCGUUAAGUCUGCCGCCUGGGGAGUACGGUCGCAAGACUGAAACUUAAAGGAAUUGGCGGGGGAG